GAAUAAUUCACAAUGGGGGAAACCCUGAUGGUGCAACGCCGCGUGGAGGAUGAAGGUCUUCGGAUUGUAAACUCCUGUCAUCGGGGAGUAAGACCUGGGCGUGAAUAGCGCACAGGGUUGAUAGUACCCGAAGAGGAAGGGACGGCUAACUUCGUGCCAGCAGCCGCGGUAAUACGAAGGUCCCAAGCGUUGUUCGGAAUCACUGGGCGUAAAGGGAGCGUAGGCGGCGUGGUAAGUCAGAUGUGAAAUCCCGGGGCUCAACCCCGGAACUGCAUCCGAUACUGCCAUGCUUGAGGGUUGGAGAGGUAGCUGGAAUUCUCGGUGUAGCAGUGAAAUGCGUGGAUAUCGAGAGGAACACUCGUGGCGAAGGCGAGCUACUGGACAACAUCUGACGCUGAGGCUCGAAGGCCAGGGGAGCAAAAGGG
rnacentral:rRNA from 1 species